AGAGUUUGAUCAUGGCUCAGAACGAACGCUGGCGGCGUGCUUAACACAUGCAAGUCGAGUGCGCGUGCCGUAGCAAUACGGCAUGGCGCACGGCGCACGGGUGCGUAACACGUGGGCAAUCUGCCCUCCGGUGGGGAAUAACCCCGCGAAAGCGGGGCUAAUUCCGCAUAACAUUCCCUGGACUCCGGUUCGGGGAUUCAAAGCAGUGAUGCGCCGGAGGAGGAGCCCGCGCCCGAUUAGCUAGUUGGCGAGGUAACGGCUCACCAAGGCAAUGAUCGGUAGCUGGUCUGAGAGGAUGGCCAGCCACACUGGAACUGAGACACGGUCCAGACUCCUACGGGAGGCAGCAGUGGGGAAUCUUGCGCAAUGGGCGAAAGCCUGACGCAGCGACGCCGCGUGGGGGAUGAAGCUUUUCGGAGUGUAAACCCCUUUCGACUGGGACGAAUGCCCGCAAGGGAGUGACGGUACCGGUAGAAGAAGCCCCGGCUAACUACGUGCCAGCAGCCGCGGUAAGACGUAGGGGGCCAGCGUUGUUCGGAAUUACUGGGUGUAAAGGGUUCGUAGGCGGUGUGGCAAGUCGGGAGUGAAAUUUCUGGGCUUAACCCAGAAGCUGCUUCCGAAACUGCUGUGCUAGAGUGCGGGAGAGGCGCGUGGAAUUGCAGGUGUAGCGGUGAAAUGCGUAGAUAUCUGCAGGAACACCCGUGGCGAAAGCGGCGCGCUGGACCGUUACUGACGCUGAGGAACGAAAGCUAGGGGAGCAAACAGGAUUAGAUACCCUAGUAGUCC
rnacentral:rRNA from 1 species